rnacentral:lncRNA from 1 species
GUGACUUCGGCCAUCGCUCUGGUAGUCCCGGUAGCUGACGAACUCCUGCCAAGGGCAGCGGUAGCCCUUGGAGAUGGCGGUGUGGUUGAACUUCUCUGGCGGGACGCCCUUCAGCGGCUCCGCAUAGCCUAGGGGCGCGGGGGGAAGGGAGCGCCUCCGUUCUUCCACCCUCAGCCCCCAACCCCACCUCGCCCCACCCCCAUUCCGCGGACGCGGUUGGAGGAGGGAAGAUCGGAGUUAGGGGAGAGGACGGCGGGAAUGGGAAGCCACAGUUGCUCCAGCACAGGAGACCCCUCCCCAUCCCAGGAAACACGGAGGACUGCAGUGAGGAAGCCACGAGUUCGCAGCGCGGGUUGGUCUUGGCCUUGGCUGACUCGCUGUGUGACCUGGGGCGCGGCGCCCCUCCGGCUCGUGGUCUGGCGAGGGGAGUGCGCGCGUGCGCGUGUGUGUUGGGGAAGGGGGCGGACUAGCCUUCUGGGUGCUCUUCCUGCCCCAUGGGGAGCACACCCAUGCUUCAGGCCCCCCAGCCCUGGUCCCGGGACCCGAGGAGGCCACUCACCUGGCGCCAGGGCGCUGGGGCUGGGGACGCACCCAGCAGGGGCGGCUGCAGGGUGGGCGCCCUCGGGACCCCCGAGUGAGGCCCCGGGUGAGGCCGGGAAGAUGUGGAGCUCCGAGCGGUAGUUCGGCCCCUCAGGGCCAUUGGCAUUGGCAACCUGGGCACAGGGGCGGGUUCUCAGAGGCCACCGACGACCUCCCGCCCCCAGCCGCGCUCCCCUUCCCCCAGCUUCCCUUCCAGGGAGCUCCCCUCCACGCUCACCGUCCCCGACUCCGCUGUUCCAGUCACCUUCCUCCUGGCGCUUCCGGCCAGCAUCUGGGAACGAGGGGGUAGAAUAAACCGCAGAGAAGCUCAGCGGGGCAGGGGACCAGGGUUCUCCCUCCACCAAAAAAAAAGGUCGGGGGGAGGCAAGAAUCCUAACGCCCAUCAUCGGGGAACAAGGAUGAGUUACUAGUUUACAACGCUAAACCCAGUGCCUGGGACCGAGAAAUACUCGAUAUAUGUUAAUUGCUAUUGUAAUGCCGAGUCCGGGCAAGAUACUUAAUUUCCCUGAGCCUCAAUGUCCUUCUCGAUAGAAUGAGGAUGAUGGUGAUGAAGAUCUCUUCCUCAGAGGGGUCUAUGAGCAUUAAAUGAGAUACCUGCAAAGUGCUUAGCUAGCAUUGUCUUAGGCACAUAGCAAAGGCGGGUGUUUUGCCAUCUUUAUUUUUCUGCCACAUCACUCCCUCUCAGUUGCCUCCUGUCUAGCCCAGAAAUUAAGUGGAGGGUGGAUGGAAUAGCCCUGGCUUCCUUAGAAGUAUCUGGAACUGCCUGCUGCCUUUCUGAAGCCAAGGGAAAAACCCUUCUUGCCUUUCUUCUCCACCAGCAGAUUAUUCCAUGGCCUUUCCUUUCUCCGGUGGGAAGAAGAAAAAAGGGCAUUCUACAUUUUCCAUCUUAGAUCAGGCCCAAGUCUAAACUAGAUCCAGCCUGCUGCAAAUUUAGCCUAGAGUGCAUGCCUGUCUUAGCUUUUUUUUUUUUUUUUUUUUUUUGGUAGGAGCCAGAGUCCCUUCACUCCACGGCUUAUCCUCAACCCCCUAAUCCACUUUGUUUACUUUGUUCUGUAUCCAGGGAGAGAUGCCUAAAAAGAUAACACUUUUCAAGGAUCACACUGAAAGGCAGGAGCCUAAUCUGAUGGGAACAUCACAGUCCUCAGCCUGGCUUACCGUUUGACUUUAGGCUAACCAGUGGCUCUCUGUGGUCCUCAUUUUCCCCAUGAGCACAAUGGUGGCUUACUCACCGCCCGCUGGCUGGCUGCUAACUCGAAAGUGAACUUCUGCACACGGCGCUGCCUCUUCUGGAAGAGGAGGGACCCUCUGUUGUUGCGUAGUGACAGCUCCUCCAUCAUCAGGUCCUGGGGCACGCUCAGCUUCUUGCCCAGGUCCAGCGUAGGGACUGCCAGGAAAGGCCAGAGCGGGCUCUCACCACCCCAUCCCCCAUACACUCCAGGCCCCACCUCUCGAAGCAUGGCAUGCUGUGUGUAAGAAUGCCUGUUUCUCACCAAGCUUGCCGACACCGGGUGUCAUGAUUGUUUGAAAUCUUUGCCCACCUGAUGGGCAAAAAUGACACCUCAGAGUUUAAUUUGCAUGUGUUUGUUGCUCAGUGAAGUUUAGCACUGUUUCCGAAGUUCUUUGGCCAUUUGUGUUUAUUGCAUGAAUUCCCCAUGCAGGUCUUUGCCCAUAAUGGUGGAGGUAGUGAGAAAUGGUCAGAUUCUCGAUAUUUUUUAAAGCAGUUUCUAUGGAGUGUUUGGGUGUGAAAGCCUAACUGGAGAGGGUUCAAGAGAAAAUGGACAGAAGAACAAGUUUAACCACACCAUGAGGAAGCGAUAAGCCAAAUCCAGGACGCAGGACAUUCUACAGGACAACUGGCCUGGUUUUUCAAACAAACGAGUUUCACUCUUGUUGCCCAGGCUGGAGUGCAAUGGCAUGAUCUCGGCUCACUGCAACCUCUGCCUCCCGGGUUCAAGCGAUUCUCCUGCCUCAGCCUCCCGAGUAGCUGGAAUUGCAGGCAUGCACCAUCACGCCUGGCUAAUUUUGUAUUUAUAGUAGAGAUGGGGUUUCUCCAUGUUGGUCAGGCUGGUCUCGAGCUCCCAACCUCAGGUCAUCCGCUUGCCUCAGUCUCCCAAAGUGCUGGGAUUACAGGCGUGAGCCACCUCCCCCAGCUGAGCUCAAUAUUUAAAAAAAAAAAAUGGCAGGCACAGUGGCUCACAACUAUAAUCCCAGCACUUGCAGAGGGCAAAGUGGGUGGAUUGCUUGGGCCCAGGAGUUCAAGACCAGCCUGGGCAAUAUAGCAAGACCCUGUCUCUAUUAAAAAAUAAAAAAAGAUAAAAUCUAUUUGACUGAGUAUUUCUAUUUCUAGGAAUUUAUUCUCGGGGAAAAAGUUGAAUAAAUAUGUCCAAAGAUACAUGUAUAAGAAUGUUUAUUGCAGUGGGGUUUAAAAUUGUGAAAACUGGGACUCAGUCUCGUGGUGGAUGCUGCCAGAUGCCCCUUAUUAGUGGCUAAGAGUUCACACCACCACCUUCUACAGAGAACUGCCAGUGGAAUGGAUGCUCCACAGCGCCCUUGCCUCAGGUGGGAUGAAUUCUGUGGAGCAAUUCAUGCUCGAGAGCUCCCCGCGGGGUCACACUGAACUGGACAGCCGCUGAGCCCACAUCCUCGCUCAGCAGUACCCCACCCUAGGCUGCAUUCCUCCUUCCCUUCCGAGAGCACGUUCUCAAUAAGUCACUUGCACAAGGCUCCUCUGUUCUGCCCCGAAGGAUCUCACCCCAGACAACCCUCAUCAGGGGAUGGUUAAACACACAUGACGUGUCCAAACAGCAGAAAGCUGGUAAGCACGGGGAAGGAAGGCGUGAGAUAAAUCAUACUAGGAUGGAAUGCUGCUAAAUGAAAAAAAAAAAAAGCCAAAGAACAUAGCAUAUAGUAUUUAGCCCAUGUGUAUGUAUGUUUAUAUAAAGACAUUCAUAUAUGAACAGAACAAGAAUUUACAUAAAUAUGUUAACAGUGGUUAUCUCCAGAUGGUUCCAUUAUGAUGAACUUUCAAAGCCGUUCAUGUCUGUUUUGUCUGAAUUAAACAAAUUUUUUUAAUGUAUGCCAAGUCAAUGGCAAGUGAAUUUUUUUUUUAAAAAGUGAUGUAUUAUCAUUGUAACCAUGUAAUAAAGAAACAGCUCUGAAGACAAAGAGACCUGGAGUCAAAUUGCA